AGUUUAUGGACGACAAUCCGACUGUUCUCACCGAUCAUAUUCAAAUAGAUGACACUGCACUUGUUUCUUCUUCUGCAACUAUAAGGGGAUCUGUCACCAUAGGUCCUGGCUGUGUGAUACAUCCCAAUGCUUCUAUUAUUGCCGAGUUUCCUAUCAUUUUAGGGUCUGACAAUAUUGUUGAAGAGCAGGCUUUUAUAUAUUCUGAAUAUAAGGGGCAGCCUAGAGAAAAUGCCGCUAUGCGCAUUGGUAAUUUGAAUCUAUUUGAAACUGAUUGUUAUGUCAAGAACGUCUGUGUUGGCGAUAUGAACACAUUCGAAUCCAAAUCACGUUGUGAAGAAUGCAAUAUAAAAAACAUGAAUUUGAUUUCUUGUGGCGCACAUAUUAGAAAUUUGGAUAUAGAAUGCCAAACCGUCGUCUUUUCAAGAGGUCAAACGCUCAAAAAAAUUCAUCCUCUAUGCAUCAGUAAUAGACUUGAAACGCAUAAGUU